rnacentral:lncRNA from 1 species
UCUUCCCUGUCCCUCAAUUUAUUAUACUUCUUCGCUACGUGACCGGUUGCUGGGUCCAUUCUAGUUUGCGUUGACCCACCAACAUCCCCACCACCUUUUGCAAUAUUUAACUCUCUUUUGUGAUCUUCAGCUAGAUGUCUCAUUAACGUACCCGUACCCCCUUGCUUACCUCCACUUCUAUGCUUAUAUAUUUGUUGACAAAUAUUGCAUUGCAC